GCCGAGGUGGCGGAAUUGGUAGACGCGCUGGCUUCAGAUGCCAGUAUCCUUUUGGAUGUGCUGGUUCGACUCCAGUCUUCGGUACCA
rnacentral:tRNA from 1 species